rnacentral:rRNA from 1 species
CCUACGGGGGGCAGCAGGCGCGAAACCUUUACAAUGCGCUAACGCGUGAUAAGGGGACUCCAAGUGCUUAUGCUUAGCAUAGGCUUUUGCUAAGGGCGAAGACCUUGGCGAAUAAGUGGUGGGAAAGACUGGUGCCAGCAGCCGCGGUAACCCCAGCGCCACAAGUGGUGAUCGGUUUUAUUGGGCCUAAAGCAUUCGUAGCUGGUUGAAAAAGUCUCUUGUGAAAUCGGGACGCUUAACGUACCGGAUGGCAGGAGAUACUAUUUGACUUGGGAUUGGGAGGAGUGAGAGGAAUUUUGGGGGAAGCGGUAAAAUGCUAUAAUCCCUAAAAGACCACCGAUGGCGAAGGCAUCUCACUAGAACAAAUCCGACAGUCAGGAAUGAAAGCUAGGGGAGCAAACCGGAUUAGAUACCCUAGUAGUCC